rnacentral:rRNA from 1 species
UAGUCCUAGCUGUAACCGAUGGACUUCUAGGUGUGGGGAGAUUAUACUUUCCGUGCCGCAGCUAUCGCAUUUAGUGUCCCGCGUGGGGAGUACGGUCGCAUGAGUAAAACUCAGGGGAAUAGCCGGGGGCCCGCACAAGCAGCGGAGCAUGUGGCUUAAUUCGAAGCAACGCGAAGAACCUUAGCAGGGCUUGACACCUAGGUGAAGCAGUGGAAACACGGUGGCCGAAAAGAGGGUAAACAGUUGGCACAUGCCGUUACUCAGCUGCUUUGUUCAGAUGGAAAGUUAAGUCCCGCAACGAGCCCAUCCUUUCUCGCAUGGUGUCAGCGGUUCGGCCGGUCACCCAUGGGACAAGAUUGGCCUUAAGCCGGAGGAAGGGGGGUAUGGCGUCAAGUUCUCAUCCCCUUUAUGUCGUGGGUCUCUCACGCCGUCCAACCAUCGGCACAGAGGUAGGCCACUGCCCCAGCAGAAAGGAAUCCGUAAACCGGGCCCCCGUUUGGAUCGGAGGCUUUACCUUAUUUCCCAGAAGUCGGA